AGCAGCCGCGGUAAUUCCAGCUCCAAUAGCGUAUAUUAAAGUUGUUGCAGUUAAAAGCUCGUAGUUGAAUUUCGGGAUCAAUAUUUCGGUCAUGCCGUUGGUAUGCACUGUUAUCAUUGAUUUCUCACCUUCUAAAGAACCGUAAUGCCAUUAAUUUGGUGUUACGGGGAAUUAGGACUGUUACCUUGAAAAAAUUAGAGUGUUAAAGCAGGCUCACGCUUGAAUACAUUAGCAUGGAAUAAUGAAAUAGGACAUCCGAUUCUAUUUUGUUGGUUUCUAGGAUCGAUGUAAUGAUUAAUAGGGAUAGUUGGGGGCAUUAGUAUUCAAUUGUCAGAGGUGAAAUUCUUGGAUUUAUUGAAGACUAACUACUGCGAAAAGCAUUUGCCAAGGAUGUUUUCAUUAAUCAAGAACGAAGUUAGGGGAUCGAAGACGAUCAGAUACCGUCGUAGUCUUAACCAUAAAACUAUGCCGACUAGGGAUCGGAUGAUGUUAAUUUUUUAAUGACUCAUUCGGCGCCUUA
rnacentral:rRNA from 1 species